UUUCAUAUAUUGAAAAAUGUGACAAUAUAUUUGUUUAUGUAUUGUAAUGUAAUGUAUGUAUUCAAUAAUAUUCUUCAUAAUACAUAGAUAAACAUAUGAUAAACUGUUUGUAUACGUACACACAUAUAUAUACUGGAACAGGUACGUGCACUAGAAAAGUACACAAUUAUGAGGAAAAUAUAAAUUUGUAUUGAUAUAGUGUAUAAAGCACUCAAUAAAGUGAUAAAAUCAUGGUGCUUAGAAAAAAACUUUGUGUUCAGGACACACUUUUCUAUUACAGGUCACAUAUUUUUAUUCAUGAAAUGUGUAGAUAUGCAAAAAAUACAGUUAUAGAAAAGUUUAUGAAUAUGUGUUCAGCUGUAACUUUUGAAAGAGAAAAUGCGUGUUUCAAUAAAACGAUUACAUGUAAAAUUAUACUGCAGUAUUUUUUAAAUGCAUCAAAACACAUCCAUACGUGAUCUAUGACUAUACUGCAGUAUAUUGAAAAAUAUAAGCGCUGCUUUCCCAUAUAUAGAAAUGUAUUGUUUAAUAAACUGCAUUAUAUUUUCCAAAACAUUCCCAUAUAUUUUUCUUUCAUAUGGGCACACUGUCCACUUUUUAAUACUUAUUUGGAUUCAGUGUAUUGUGGAGGAGGGUCUGCAGGAUGAUGAAAGGAAGAACUGCUGGCCACAGGGAUCUGCAAGAAAACAAAGAGAGAUAUGAUCAGUUUAUUGAUUGCUUUUUAUUGAUAAUAUUACCUAACAAUUAUUGCACCCAUUACUGAACGCCUUACUUAUUUCCAGUGCAUGGAUACUCAACCCUAAAUUCAAAUAAUACAUUUUUCUUUACUAAUUUUACUCAAACUGCAACUGAACUGAGGUUACAAGUUUCUCUUACCUCUGAGCUGUUGAGAUCGUGGAAAUGAUUGGGCCUGAAAUCACAGGGCUGUGGUGGCAGAACUUGAGCAAACUGCACCUUUGGGGGAAAAAAUGCAUGCUUUAUGUCUUCUUACCAGAUGCCAGAAAUACAUCAGUAUUACAGGUUUAUAAACCUUAUUGAACUUCAAAUGGAAUAAGAAAAAGCAAAAGACAGAAAUGUUUCUGACAUGUGUUUUGGAAUCAGGAAUGCGUAAGAAAACAGUUCUGCAAGAAAGUGUUUUAACUUCAAAAACCUGACUAAUGUCUUGAAAUAAAAUAUGAUUAAGUAGGGAAUGUUUGACUCUUCUGCUUUAAAACUACAAUGUACUGAACCUUUUCAGUCAAAAUGUUGUACAUGAAACAAAUUUUAUUUUAAACAUGGUCGUUAGGGCUCUCGUGUGGGAGAUAGGCGCACAGAGAUGAUUCAAAUAGCGUUAAAUAAUAGUUCAAGGAGAAAAGAGAGAUCCAAGAACACACAGGGAAACACAAGCAGCACUAACUGGCCAGGAAGAACUGAAAGAGAGCAACUUAAAUACACAGACCAAAUGAGGAUAAUUAUCAAACACAGGUGAACAGAAUGAACUAAUCAAGGGAACUAAGGAAAAGUAGGUCAAGAAACAAAACAGGAGAACAAAUAGUGUGACAGUGGUUUACUUUCCAAUCAAUAGCCUACAUUUACGACCACAUAGUAAAAUAAGGAAUUUAAUUAAAAUGCUGCUUCUAGCCCCUCGAGGUAUCAUGGGCUUCAUGGGACGAAACAUCAAGGAAUGGCAUGUUUGAUAACCCGCAAAAUAGGGUCACGAUUUCUCGAUUCAAAUCAAGAACUCAAUUAAAAAAAAUCCUCGAUUACAUUUUACCCGUGUCGAAUAAUAAUGAACAUAGCACAAUGCUAUUGUGAAUUCAUAAAUGCUACGAUUUAAUUAAAUAUAUGCGAUGCAGGUUUAAUAUAUGCGCUUUAAUUAUUUACAUGCAUGUAGGUUAGUAACAUGCAUCUCAGAGCAGCUCCAUUCACAGUAAAUGCUGCUCCACACAAACUGUUAUCAUUCACAUUUGUGGAGCGUCUCACACUCCAUCUCUGCAUAUUGUUAUGAGUUUGGGUUUAUUACAACAUUCAUCUGGGAACGCAACGUGCGCCAUUUCAUCAGAUUUGUAAGGUAAAUCAUUUCUAAACCUACACAAAUACAGGACAAAACAUCAGUAUCCUUCUUAAUAUGCGAACUGUUCAUCCGAUUUCAAAAUAAAAGUUUAAACCCUUUCUGUCGUAAAGAAAUGGCCAAAUAUUACAGAUUAAGUGGAUAUUGGAAGUAAAUGUUGUUUAGUCAAUAAUAAACAAGGAUUAGAUUGUGCAGUAAAAUGUAAAAACAAUCGUCAGGCCGUCUGCGCCUCUGCAGUCAUUCGUUAUAAUGCGUAACAUUAGUUCUAUUGUUUAUAAUACAUUACUUUUACCAGUUUUGUAAAAAAAAAAAAAAGAAAACAUUUAGAUUACUUGCUUUUGAUACUUUAUUUGAACUAAUUAUUAUUUUUCAUUGCUAUUAUAUAUGUAUUUUAAGUAAUUUUAUUAAUAAUUAACAUUAGUAAUAUUAAUUGUUCGCUUAGGUUGAUUUUUAUUACAGCAAAAAAUAUCUGUAUUGUAACGUAGUUGUACAAAGUAUUCCCCCCGAAACAUGGACUUUCCCGCACACAUAAUUUGGACUGAAAUGGAUUGUCAAAGUUCGCACUCCAUGUAACGGCACUCAGGUUUCCAGGUAACGGAGCGGGAAAGUGAGUGGUAGAACAGAGAGAGUUUGGAUGUGCAUUAUAUAGUUUAGAGAGGAAAUGAGUGGAUUAUAUCUUCUAAGUGUACAUUGUGUAUAUGUGUGCGUGCAUCACAAUCAAUGUAAUUACCCGAAUGUGUUUACAUGUAACUGUAACUGAUUGUUUACAUGUAACUGUUGUGUUCGUGUCACAGUGUCUGGUUUGUGUUCCCUGGGUGUCCACUUGAGGUCUCACUUCCCCUGUCUCCUCAUUGCACUCAGCUGUCCCUGGUCAUUAAUCAUUGCACUUAGCCAAUUCCCCGUUAGUAUUGUCAUUUGCCUGUGUAUAAAUACCCCGGUUGUUCUGUCAUUGUUACGGAGUCCUUGUUUAAUGUCACCCUGGGGUGUAUUCCAGAAAGCAGGGUUAACUUACCGUGAACUAAACCCUGAACUCUCGGUUGAUAACCCCAAACCUUGCUUACUCGAGGUAUGUGGUUCCAAAAACACGUCCGGGAGUAAGUUCAUUCAACUCAGAAUAUGUUCCUGGUUAAGACUCAAGACAUUCUCAACAGAGCGAUGAAUCGACGAGUCACUAUGGAAACGGACGCUAAGAAAAAGCGCGCCAAGCUGUUUCUUUCUUCUUCUUUUGUUCAUUAGUUGUUUACAUGCUUAGUGCAUAUCGACACCUAAUUGAUGACCGUGAUAUUUUUUUUCAUGUAAUCUUUAAUCCUUGAGAAUGUGAAUUAUAUUUUUGGUUUUAUGCUAAUUAUAUAUUAAGUCAUAUCAGAUAUGUAUUUUGAUUUAGAAUUUAGACAUUAUAGAAAAUCCAUGUGUGAGAUAAUAUAACAUGUUAUAAAUAAAAUAAAUAAAUAUUUAUAAGUUAAACAUUACCUUGUCAUAGUGUUUUAUAAUUUAUACAGAUAACUCUUAUAUAUGGCAAUAAAAAAAAAUCAUAUUAGAAUAAUGUUACCUUAUUUAUUACUUAUAUUAGUGCUUCCUCAUUAACAUAUCAAAUAUAUAUAUAUAUAUAUAUAUAUAUAUAUACAGUACAGACCAAAAGUUUGGAAACAUUACUAUUUUUAAUGUUUUUGAAAGAAGUUUCUUCUGCUCAUCAAGCCUGCAUUUAUUUGAUCAAAAACACAGAAAAAAAUUUAAUAUUGUGAUAUAUUAUUACAAUUUAAAAUAAUUGUUUUUAAAUUUAUUAUACUUUAAAUUAUCAUUUAUUUCUGUGAUGCAAAGCUGAAUUUUUAGGAUCAUUAUCACAUGAUCCUUUAGAAAUCAUUCUAAUAUGAUGAUUCUUUAUCAAAGUUGGAAACAGUUCUGCUGCUUAAUAUUUUUUCAGAACAUGUGAUACUUUUUUAGGAUACUUUGAUGAAUAAAAAGUAGUUUUUUUAAAAUAUAAAUAUUUUUGUAAUAACAAUAUACACUACUGGUCAGUAAUUUGGGGUCAGUAUUUUUUUUUUCUUUCUUUUUUUAAAUAAAAUCAAUACUUUUAUUCAGCAAGGAUGUGUUAAAUUGAUAAAAAGUGAUAGUAAAGAAAAUAUAUUAUUAGAAUAUAUAUUAUUAGAAUAAUAAAUGCAGUUCUUUUUAACCUUUUAUUCAUCAAAUAUAUUAGUCAGCAGAACUGUUUCCAACACUCAUAAUAAAUCAGAAUAUUAGAAUGAUUUCUAAAUGAUCAUGUGAUAGACUGGAUGUUACAUGUGACACUGAAGGCUGGAGUAAUGAUGCUGAAAAUUCAGCUUUGCAUCACAGGAAUUAUUUUUUAGAAGUAUAUUCAAAUAGAAAACUAUUAUUUUAAGUUGUAAUAAUAUUUCACAAUAUUACUGUUUUUUCUGUAUUUUUCAAAUAAAUGCAGGCUUGAUGAGCAGAAGAAACUUCUUUCAAAAACAUUAAAAAUAGUAAUGUUUCCAAACUUUUGGUCUGUACUGUAUAUAUAUAUGUAUAAUAAGCUAUAUUAGAUAUUGUAAUAUUAUAUAAUGCUGUGCGCUAUCUGUCACGCCCACUGAAGGCUCGCUGAAGUGAACUAACCCUGGAACAUAACCUGCUCCGGAGCAGGUUAAGUUCAGAGAGUGAGUUGCUAUGACUACUAACAUACCCUGAAAGUUACCUCCAUUUUUGGAACCGAAAGUUGAGGUUAUCCACUUACUUACUCUUAAACAUACC
ensembl:lncRNA